AAUGAACGUUGGCGGCAUGGAUUAGGCAUGCAAGUCGGGGGAAUCCCAGCAAUGGGGGAACCGGCGUAAGGGGCAGUAAGGCAUGGGUACCUACCUUGGGGUUCGGGAUAGCCAUCAGAGAUGGUGGGUAAUACCGGAUGACGUCGUGAGACCAAAGAUUUAUCGCCCCUAGAGGGGCCCAUGUGAUAUUAGCUAGUUGGUGGGGUAACGGCCCACCAAGGCGAAGUUGUCUAGCGGGUGUGGGAGCACGACCCGCGCCACUCGCACUGAGACACUGGCGAGACACCUACGGGUGGCUGCAGUCGAGGAUCUUCGGCAAUGAGCGCAAGCUUGACCGAGCGAUGCCGCGUGAGCGAUGAAGGCCUUCGGGUUGUAAAGCUCUUUAGUGGGGGAGAAAAGCCGCAAGGUGUGAUCUAUCCCAAAAAUAAGCACGGGCUAAGUUCGUGCCAGCCGCCGCCGUAA
rnacentral:rRNA from 1 species